UUUUUUAGGUACAGUUGGCAAGUUGCGUUAUGAGUACUGCCUCUCUCCCUCGCUUUAAAACCCUCUCCUCUCUCUUUCUUCUCAUCUCCCAAGUAGAACGAGAGCACAGAAAACAAAAGGAAGCUAUAACAUGGUUAUUGGGUAAUUUUAAGUAACAGAGCAAAAGCUAGCCUUAAAUUAUCCCACCAUGUCCCGCCAAGCCCACCUCCCUCCUCGGUGCCCAUUUAAGAACAGGGGUUUGCUGCCCCGAGCACUGGAUUCCACACCUCAAACCACACUGUAUAGGUUUCCAUCCCAAGGGUCCAUUAUAGAUGAAAGACCCUCAUGGAUUGAUGACCUCUUUACUGAGUCAGACAGUAGUCCUAGAGGUAUCUCUCAUCGGAGAUCUUCAAGUGAUUCUGCAGCAAUUCUGGAGGUCCCGGCAAUGUUGGCCGGUCCAGUAUCCCCUGUCAGUGAAGGAAAUACUUCAUCAGUUGGUGCCCUUCACAAAUCACCAGAAGCCACAGAUGAGGGUGAAACUAAUUCUGGGUUUGAGGCUGGUAGCGGGUAUGACGCAAGCUGUGUUUAUGGUCCCAACUCCCCCAGGCAAAAGAGUAAACUGACCAGUUCGGAAAGCUCCCUAGUCGCUGCUUUGUUGGAAAAUAUUCCUCAGAACCCUUUGCAAUAUGUAACUGUGGAUUUCCCUAGUGGCUCAAAUAAUAGUGAGUCCAAUGCGAGCGGAGAUAUUCUUGUUGCACCGGAUGAUCAUGAUCCAGAGAGGGCAUCAAGAAGGCGCUCAGGACAACGAUCUAGGGUCCGUAAGCUUCAAUAUAUUGCUGAACUCGAGAGAACUGUUGAUGCACUUCAGACUUUUGGAGCUGAGCUGGCAGGAAGAGUUGCUUCUAUGUAUCAGCAGCGUUUUGCUUUAUCAAUGGAAAACAAGAAACUGAGGUGGCAGAUAACCAGAAUUCAACAACAGAAAAUAAUGAAGGAUGGUCAGUAUCAGACUCUGAAGAGUGAAGCAGAAAGGUUAAAGGUGAUUUAUGGUCGUCACCGAAGGAGCAAAAGCGCUGCAUCCUGUUUUGAGAUGGGUCCUUUGAAUACAGAUACUUCGGAAGUUAGUUGGCAGAUACUGGACAUGGGUAAGCUCAGUCUCGGUGAAAGCCCGGUUCCUAUGAAACAUGGUCUUGGACGCUGGUGAUGAUCCCUGGCCAUCAUACUGAGUGCAGCACUGCAAACCAUCUUACUAGUAGGAUUAACAUUCCCAAAGCUAGAUUCAAAGCCAUGGGCUGGUAAGCCUAUUCUAACUAACAUUUGCAUUCCUCUUUGCAAAUGGUCCCACUUAUAGUUAACCUGGUAGAAGCAUCACAGAUUAAACUUUACCACCAACUGCAGAACUCUGAAAUGCAUGUACAUGCUUGCAAAGCUGCAGCGCGGUCUUCAGUCACUGAUAGUUUUUAUGAAACUAGGAAAUCUUGAAAGCUUGAUGUAAUACAGAAACUCUUAUAGCCAUCUUUAGCAUUCAAAAUGGUGAUCAGAUGGUAAUAAUUUAAUUGUUGGAAUGUUCUGCUGAGAUGGGUGGUGGUGCAACUCUUAUUUGUGCGAUUCCUUUUUGGAGUCAGCUGAUAAGCCGUGGGAGGAAAUGCUUCUAUCUUGGUACCCAUGAUGCAUCAGCUAUCGUAUAUCGAUGGAUAGUGCACGAACCGGAUAUAUGGAAGACGAGUCUAAGGUUGGAGCAGGAACUGGUGUGACGCUGCUGUGGCUGCUACGCCAAAUAGAGCACUCGAUGGUGAAGACCGGUGAGAUUGACGCCGAGCGCAGAGUGGAUGAAGCAAGUAAAAGAGAAUGGUGCAAAACUGGGAGAUGGGAUACCUUGUAGCAUCGGGACAAGAUCGGAUUUGACCGAGGUAAGUAUAGGUCUAAUCAGAAAAAAAAAAAAAUGGGAGGGAUUGAAACGGGGAUGGUGCUGUUCUGGGGAUGGUGCUGUUCUUGGGACCAAGGCGCUUCCGUCUGGGUAUCCACCGUCCAGACCUGCAAAAGGAUCGGAUCGAAUUGAAUCUUUAAUGAUUUUCAUCUAAUUCAAUUUUUUUUGAUUCGAUCUUGAUUUAAUUUAUUUGAAAUCUAUAUUAGAUUGUUAGAUGAUAACUAAGAAAGAUCUCUCUUUUUUUUUUAAUUUUUUAAUAAUAAUUUUUAAUAAUUAAUUGUAUAGAAUAGUAGAAGAAAAUAAGCGGUUUUUGACAAAGAGUGAAGAUUCUAGAAAU